rnacentral:rRNA from 1 species
CCCUUAGAUGUCCUGGGCCGCACGCGCGUUACACUGAUGCAUUCAACGAGCUUAUAACCUUGGCCGAGAGGCCCGGGCAAUCUUGUUAACGUGCAUCGUGAUAGGGAUAGAUUAUUGAAAUUAUUAAUCUUGAACGAGGAAUUCCUAGUAAACGCAGAUCAUCAAUCUGCAUUGAUUACGUCCCUGCCCUUUGUACACACUGCCCGUCGCACCUACCGAUUGGAUGGUCCGGUGAAGCCUCGGGAUUGUGGUUCUUGCCGCUUUAUUGUGGCGUGACCGCGAGAACUUGUCUAAACCUUAUCAUCUAGAGGAAGGUGAAGUCGUAACA